UUGAUUCCUAUUGCUGGGACAUUUUCAAGUAUAGGAAAAGUGCACGAGUACGAAAUUCAAAGCAGAUAUGCGAUUACUUUCGAUUUCGGCGGUGGGGUUUGCUUGCCGUGCCAUCUGUUUUUCAUCUACUCCUUCCCACCCACCGACACCUGCGGGGAUCUCCAGCGCCUACAGAUGGCGUCAGAGGGCUGGCAGCCGGAGGCGGCCAGAAUAAGUGACGACGGCGUUGAGAGGGAUCAGUGGAGAGGUGACACGCGUCGAAUCGUGGCCACCAAUAGCCCGGGCUUGAAUCCACACAGCGUCGACUCGGUUCCACUAUCUCACAGCCUCUAGCAGGUGUCAAUCCUUCGAAACAUACACCCGGCUUCAAUAUCUGACACCUUCAACGCAGGUCCAUGCACAGCAUCCCCACGGCUGCAAUCCUCUAGAAAAUCCGCCUGUUCUCCAGGAUGCACAGAUUCCUUCCAGCUUCAACGCUCCACAGUUGCCACCCGGUUUUAAACCUCCACUGUUUCCACUCGACUCCACCAGCACUCCAUAAGCAGUCGUGCCCAGCACCACCAACCUUGCGGAAAGUACCGUGACAACAUUGGCAGCACCUGGCACAGCUGUAUCCGAUAUCCGAUCGGUCACAGCAACAUCAUGUCUACCUUCUAGCAACCAGCAACCAGUAAAGAGCAUCCAGCAUCAUCCAAUGUCUGGUCCCCAUCCGGUGCAGGGCGCCGUCACGCCGACAUGUCCGAUGAACCCGAAUCAUAAUGACGAAGCCUCGGCAAUGGCUCGUCGUGUAACACAUCCCGAUUUGCUGCGGGAGAACAGUAGCCGACCCUUUGUCCUGCAGCGCUGGCAGUCCGGGUCCGGGUCUGGGUCUGGGUCUGGCUCUGGGUCUGGGUCUGCGUCCGGCCUCAACAGUGGCCAGCGCAUUCGUAUAUCGUUCGGUGAAGAGAAUGCCCUUUACUAUUACAACCGCAUCAAGCCCCUGACCCUGGACAGCUUCUUCAACUUUGAAGAGCUCGACUGUAGAGCAGGGGCCGGCGGCAAGGGGAGACCCCAAUCCAAGGCAAAGCCAUCCACAUCGACAUUAAUCAGCGAUAGGCCCGUGCCGCCGUCUGGUACCGCAGAUCCUAAUGGUCAAGAGCCCCAUUUAUCCAGUAAAAGCGGCAAUCAGAGCCGUAUGCAUGGCCAGGUACCACAAACACACGCACACAGUCGCAUUCACGGGCCCCAUACUCUUCCAUCCAGCAGUGUCUCGCUGCCGCUGAUCUUCGGUCUACUGAUAGAUGGCCACACAUGGGGCGGUGGUGGAGCACUCGUGGAGAGGGAGAUCUGCCGAUCAGUCAAGAUAUGGCGGAAUCAAGUCCAGUUCAAUUUGGGAUUGCAGGUGGAACGCGACCAGGAAGAAGACAACGCCGCCCAAUGCGAGUUGAAGCCCGUUGGCUUCGAGACCCAGAAUGCACGGCGCAGGAAUGCCAUGGCAGCGCGUCAGAGCCGAAUAAUGGACCAAAACCAGAGCGUAUAUUUCAUUAUAAAUAUAUCGUUGGGUGGCACAGAGAACGGGCUACAAAACAGAAUAGAGAACGGCCAGGACAACUCUCCAGAGAAUGCCCACGAUAUAGUCUGGCGGGGAAUUGACAUGGCUCGCCCCGCACAAUCCCAGAAUGAAGCCACUUACUACCCGCAUCAGGAACAAAGCGCAGACGACAUAUAUCCCACAUACUGGGAGAGCCAGCAGCAGCCGGAUUGUGCCAAUCGCUGGGACAUUCAUUCGCCUCUGGGGACGCCAAAUGCCAAGGGACAAGUGCCCAUCUAUCAGGUGGAGCGGGAGCGCCAACAUCGCUACCCAAAGCAGAUUUACCAGAAUCCUCCGGACCACUACAAUCCACAGGAUCAAUCGAACCAUCACUGGCAAAGUGAUGGUCCUGGACCGUCCAACAGUAGCGAUCAGUGGCGUUCCAUCCAUCGCCAAAUGCAUUCCCACCAGCAGCCACAUUCUGAGUACGACCAGCAUCAGCCCAUGCCCAUGUCCAUGCAUCCCCUGAUGGUGGAGGAGGAGGAGGAGGAGGAGGAGGUGGCGCAGGUGGCGGGUAUGCAUAUGAGUCCGGAUGAGCGGCAGCAGACAAAGCUGAUGGAGCUCCUCAAGAUGGUCAGGCAGAAGGAGCCACUACUACUGCAGCUUCAGCAGCGCGCCGUCUUCGAGCCGGUAGUCAGUGGCAGCGGCCAGAACUGGAACUGGCUGGAGAACAGCAGACAGAUCGAGAUGAUUAACAGCUUGGAAUACUUUCCGGUGAAGGCCUCGCAGGAGCUGCUGCUCGGGGCGACCUUGUACGCCCUGUACGACGAGCAUUUCUACAAUCUCGCCGAGGGAUGGUGCUACAGGGGCACUCUCGAUCCGCCCGUGCAGAUAACAAUGCCCUACCAUCCAGUGUAUAACACGUAUCACCAUCAGCCGCUUUGGCAGAACUGGCAGUGGCACUGGCACCAGUGGCCGCUGAAGCAGCAGCUGCACUGGCAGCACCACAACGAGUGGCAACAGCAGCGCCAGCAGCAGUGGUAUUGGCAGCACUUUUAUUGGCAGCAGGAGCGACUACAUCAAUGGCGGCAGCAACAGCAGGAGCAAAUCCAGGACCCGCACCAGAAGCAGGUGCAGCAUCAGCAGGGCCAGUGGCGUUGGCAGUGCAGCCCGAGGUCGGGGUCGAGAUGGAACCACCACCACUACCCCCCAUAUACAAAUCACCCAACAUCAGAAGCUAUGACUUUUGAAGACAGGGCCAACUGGAAGCCGCCAACGCAGUACAAGAGCCUAGCGGAGACAAUCGCAAGUAUGGAAGCACCUUUCACUGAACCGACAGAGGAAAUGCUGAAUCUAAGCACACAACAUUUUCCACCGCUGCCAAAACCGCAGAGUCGUGGACAGAAAUGAGGUGAAAGACUAAAGUAAGAACAGAAUGCUAUUACACAGUCAUAAGUAGUGGCGAUUGAGCAGCGGAAGUCUGCGGGAUCUACGCGGGAUAUAAUUUUUAUUUUGUUUUGAACUAGAUGUACAAAGUAUAGUAGUGAUUCCUUAUUUCAUUAAAAAUUUCAAUAAUAUUCAAAUUUCAAAUGUUCCUCCAAAUUGGAAGUGCCAGUGCUGUAAACACACUGCUGCUUGUUUGAUAUCGAUAGCCCAAUGUCCUCUUUCGCUCAGGUUGGCAGGGCUAUGCCUCAAGCGAUUCAGUAAUUUUUUGAUGCCGAUUUUCUGACAAUUAAAGAACGGGAAAUAAUGGAGGCUCUUGUCAACUAUAGCAGCGAAGAUGACCAAGAUGAUGCUGGCUAUCAAAUACGGUUGAAAAAUUCCCCUAGGCACCACCACCGCAACCAACGAAAUCGGCUGCUUUGGCAGUCACCGCUGCCGCCUCUGCCUCUGCCUCUGCAAAAGCCGCUGCAACUGCCUUAAAGCAUCAGCAUAAGGCCAAAAAGAAC